rnacentral:lncRNA from 1 species
GAUAUUGGUUUAUGGGAAACGGAAGUUAAUGCAUAGGGAAGAUGUCUUGGUAUCGGUUGGGCGAACAUAGCACGAGCUGCCAUUUGGGCGGGAAUGCGUAUUAACCUACAACCUUGAACCUGUUAUUGGCUACGCGCCCUAAUCCACGAAGAAGAAGAAAGAAGCUUGUGCUACGUCUGCCUUAUCAUUACCAACGUCUUCAGUGAAACACUUUCAGCAGUGCAGAUGAGAAAAAUUAAUUGAGCAAAUAUAAUGUCGUAGGUACAUAUCACAUAUAAACCAGGUUACCAUCAACAUGUCGGGUGUAACAGGCGGAUUGCGCUGAAAUUUCAGCACAGUGUCCAGAGUAAUGGUGAAACUUCAGUUUUUUUUUUUUACAUUUAAGAUUAUAAAGAAACACAAUUUUGAUGAAGAGUAACCAAUGAAUUUGAACAGUGAACACUAGAGUAACUAAUUCAACUAUUUGUUGUUAUGCAGACUGCCCGUCAGCGGACGGAGGCCAACCGACGGACGCCGGCUCAAAGGCCAACAGUGGCCCGCCCGCCAGCCGACACCGGCCCGCCGGCCGACGGUGGCUCGUCGACCGACACCGGCCCGUCGGCCGACUACGGCCCUCCGGCUGAUGGUGGCCCGCCAGCCGACGGAGGUCCGCCGGCCAUUCGUGGCACGCCCGCCGACGGCAGCUCGACUACACGUCCUGGCUAUGUCACCCCCAAGAUCACUUCGCCCCCCCCCCCCCCAAGUCCCUAGGUCACCAGUUGCGGGCGCUUCAUCUGACGGUGUCGUCCGACGGCUCCACGGUGACCAGCGCCGCCACUGCGGAAACCAUCGGACCCCGAAAAUGCUGCUAGCCGUGCACGAACAAAAGGCGCCAGGCACCCAGGACCAGCGCUCUGCUCCGAGGCGGUAUCUAAAGAAGGCCGCAUAGUGCACUUGCUGUGCUAAGGCAUAGUGCGCGCUGACUGAUAGGAACAAAUGACGGUCAGUUAUCAGAUCUCAGUAUGGAACUCAAGAUGGUCGGAGCCGACCUGGCCCGGUGGAUGGUGUGCCAGGGUUGAUUAAGUGUCGAAAGGAGUGAGACGCCCAGAUAUGUGAAGGAUACGUCGAUACGAGCCCCGGCUUCGACUCCCCGUCCCAAAACGAUGUUGACUGUGAUUGGAGUUUGGUAUCUUUACGGAUCCCCCCCUCCCCCACCCCUGAAUUUGUGCUAUGUAAUAGGACGAUAAUAUGUCGUGGUCUCAUUCUGGCUCGAUAUGGUAAUAGGUACUUAAUUGGACAGAUGUUGAUGGUAUUGGUGGUGGAUGUAAAUGACAGGUUUGGCGAGCGCGAACUAGUAAUCGUGAGUGCACUAGCUGCAAUCAGUCGCGCGCUUAUUGCUGAGCACCUGUGAGCAAGAAAAUGGUAUGAAAGUGGUAGUUCGUCGUGAAAUCUGUGUACUUUUGGAUUAAGUUUUCAGAACGGAAGUGUAUUUUUGCCGUGUCCACUGCAGCUCUGGAACAGAAACAUAGAGAUCGGCUGUGUGCUGUAGCAGGGGCAAGUAGUCCGUGCCAAAAAAUCAAAGGUGAUAUGUGAAUUUAAGUGAAUAUACCUCGCUUUAUUUUCAA